rnacentral:rRNA from 1 species
GGGGGCAACCCUGAUCCAGCCAUGCCGCGUGUGUGAAGAAGGCCUUUUGGUUGUAAAGCACUUUAAGCAGUGAAGAAGACCUAACGGUUAAUACCCGUUAGCGAUGACAUUAGCUGCAGAAUAAGCACCGGCUAACUCUGUGCCAGCAGCCGCGGUAAUACAGAGGGUGCAAGCGUUAAUCGGAAUUACUGGGCGUAAAGCGAGCGUAGGUGGCUUGAUAAGUCAGAUGUGAAAUCCCCGGGCUUAACCUGGGAACUGCAUCUGAUACUGUUAAGCUAGAGUAGGUGAGAGGGAAGUAGAAUUCCAGGUGUAGCGGUGAAAUGCGUAGAGAUCUGGAGGAAUACCGAUGGCGAAGGCAGCUUCCUGGCAUCAUACUGACACUGAGGCUCGAAAGCGUGGGUAGCAAACAGGAUUAGAUACCCUGGUAGUCCACGCCGUAAACGAUGUCUACUAGUCGUUGGGUCCCUUGAGGACUUAGUGACGCAGCUAACGCAAUAAGUAGACCGCCUGGGGAGUACGGCCG